GAGCGAAAUCCCCUGCGAAAACAAAUCUGAAACAUAAAUUUUGGUGUUCAAUUAGUGUCUGUUUACUGAAUAAAAUGGUAAAUGCAGCACAGUGGAAGUUUUUCACAGAUACUGUGCCACUGCAAGAAUCAUCAACUAGCAUUAGUACUAGCUGAUGAUUCUUGUGAUCUAUGGGUACUAACUAUGAAAUUCAUUGUUGGGAUAAAAAUCCUGCCUUAUUGAAUUUCAUUGGAAAAAGAAAGGUGCAGUCUGAUGGCUUUGAAAAGUGUUGCUCCCUUGAAGCAAAAAAACUCAAGUGACUAAAUAACUCUACAUGGAAUUCUUCUGUCUACAAAAGCUCUUAUGUUAACUGGAGCACUAAGAACAAAGGUGCAUUGUGCAAAAGCCAUCCGACUAUGCAAUCUACAACUGGGCAAGCCGAAGUCCAAGCCAAGAGCAACUUAAAAAUCUAAACAAAAGGAAUUAAAGUGUG
rnacentral:lncRNA from 1 species